UAGGGAAUCUUCCGCAAUGGGCGAAAGCCUGACGGAGCAACGCCGCGUGAGUGAUGAAGGUUUUCGGAUCGUAAAACUCUGUUAUUAGGGAGGAACAUAUGUGUAAGUAACUGUGCACAUCUUGACGGUACCUAAUCAGAAAGCCACGGCUAACUACGUGCCAGCAGCCGCGGUAAUACGUAGGUGGCAAGCGUUAUCCGGAAUUAUUGGGCGUAAAGCGCGCGUAGGCGGUUUUUUAAGUCUGAUGUGAAAGCCCACGGCUCAACCGUGGAGGGUCAUUGGAAACUGGAAAACUUGAGUGCAGAAGAGGAAAGUGGAAUUCCAUGUGUAGCGGUGAAAUGCGCAGAGAUAUGGAGGAACACCAGUGGCGAAGGCGACUUUCUGGUCUGUAACUGACGCUGAUGUGCGAAAGCGUGGGGAUCAAACAGGAUUAGAUACCCUGGUAGUCCACGCCGUAAACGAUGAGUGCUAAGUGUUAGGGGGUUUCCGCCCCUUAGUGCUGCAGCUAACGCAUUAAGCACUCCGCCUGGGGAGUACGACCGCAAGGUUG
rnacentral:rRNA from 1 species